AUUGAACGCUGGCGGCAUGCUUUACACAUGCAAGUCGGACGGCAGCACAGAGAAGCUUGCUUCUUGGGUGGCGAGUGGCGAACGGGUGAGUAACAUAUCGGAACGUACCGAGUAAUGGGGGAUAACUAAUCGAAAGAUUAGCUAAUACCGCAUAUUCUCUGAGGAGGAAAGCAGGGGACCUUCGGGCCUUGCGUUAUUCGAGCGGCCGAUAUCUGAUUAGCUAGUUGGUGGGGUAAAGGCCUACCAAGGCGACGAUCAGUAGCGGGUCUGAGAGGAUGAUCCGCCACACUGGGACUGAGACACGGCCCAGACUCCUACGGGAGGCAGCAGUGGGGAAUUUUGGACAAUGGGCGCAAGCCUGAUCCAGCCACGCCGCGUGUCUGAAGAAGGCCUUCGGGUUGUAAAGGACUUUUGUCAGGGAAGAAAAGGCUGUCGCUAAUACCGACAGUUGAUGACGGUACCUGAAGAAUAAGCACCGGCUAACUACGUGCCAGCAGCCGCGGUAAUACGUAGGGUGCGAGCGUUAAUCGGAAUUACUGGGCGUAAAGCGAGCGCAGACGGUUACUUAAGCAGGAUGUGAAAUCCCCGGGCUCAACCUGGGAACUGCGUUCUGAACUGGGUGACUAGAGUGUGUCAGAGGGAGGUAGAAUUCCACGUGUAGCAGUGAAAUGCGUAGAGAUGUGGAGGAAUACCGAUGGCGAAGGCAGCCUCCUGGGAUAACACUGACGUUCAUGCUCGAAAGCGUGGGUAGCAAACAGG
rnacentral:rRNA from 1 species